rnacentral:rRNA from 1 species
UACGUAGGGUGCAAGCGUUGUCCGGAAUUAUUGGGCGUAAAGAGCUCGUAGGCGGUUUGUCGCGUCGAAUGUGAAAUCCCGGGGCUCAACCCCGGGUCUGCAUUCGAUACGGGGCAGACUAGAGUUCGGUAGGGGAGUCUGGAAUUCCUGGUGUAGCGGUGAAAUGCGCAGAUAUCAGGAGGAACACCGGUGGCGAAGGCGGGACUCUGGGCCGAUACUGACGCUGAGGAGCGAAAGCGUGGGGAGCAAACAGG